ACCGAAAUAGCUCAGAUGGGAGAGCGUUAGACUAUAGAUCGAAAAGUUCCCGGUUCGAAUCCGGGUUCCGGCA
rnacentral:tRNA from 1 species